GACGAACGCUGGCGGCGUGCUUAACACAUGCAAGUCGAACGGAAAGGCCUCUUUCGGGGGGUACUCGAGUGGCGAACGGGUGAGUAACACGUGAGUAACCUGCCCUUGACUUUGGGAUAACUUCAGGAAACUGGGGCUAAUACCGGAUAGGAGCUCCUGCUGCAUGGUGGGGGUUGGAAAGUUUCGGCGGUUGGGGAUGGACUCGCGGCUUAUCAGCUUGUUGGUGGGGUAGUGGCUUACCAAGGCUUUGACGGGUAGCCGGCCUGAGAGGGUGACCGGCCACAUUGGGACUGGGAUACGGCCCAGACUCCUACGGGAGGCAGCAGUGGGGAAUAUUGCACAAUGGGUGGAAGCCUGAUGCAGCAAAGCCGUGUGCGGGAUGACGGCCUUCGGGUUGUAAACCGCUUUCGCUCAUGACGAAGCUUUGUGUGACGGUAGUGGGUAAAGAAGCACCGGCUAACUACGUG
rnacentral:rRNA from 1 species